rnacentral:rRNA from 1 species
CGGCCUUGACAUACUAAGAACUUUCCAGAGAUGGAUUGGUGCCUUCGGGAACUUAGAUACAGGUGCUGCAUGGCUGUCGUCAGCUCGUGUCGUGAGAUGUUGGGUUAAGUCCCGNAACGAGCGCAACCUUUUCCUAUUUGCCAGCGGGUCAUGCCGGGAACUUUAAGGAUACUGCCAGUGACAAACUGGAGGAAGGCGGGGACGACGUCAAGUCAUCAUGGCCCUUACGGCCAGGGCUACACACGUGCUACAAUGGUCGGUACAAAGGGUUGCUACCUCGCGAGAGGAUGCUAAUCUCAAAAAGCCGAUCGUAGUCCGGAUCGCAGUCUGCAACUCGACUGCGUGAAGUCGGAAUCGCUAGUAAUCGCGGAUCAGAAUGCCGCGGUGAAUACGUUCCCGGGCCUUGUACACACCGCCCGUCACACCAUGGGAGUUUGUUGCACCAGAAGUAGGUAGUCUAACCGCAAGGAGGACGCUUACCACGGUGUGGCCGAUGACUGGGGUGAAGUCGUAACAAGGUAGGCGUAGAUGA